rnacentral:rRNA from 1 species
GCGAGUGAAGCGGCAAAAGCUCAAAUUUGAAAUCUGGUACCUUUGGUGCCCGAGUUGUAAUUUGAAGGUAGUUUUCUGGUGCUGGUCCUUGUCUAUGUUCCUUGGAACAGGACGUCAUAGAGGGUGAGAAUCCCGUCUGAUGGGGAAUCCAGUGCUUUGUAGAUUUCUACCGACGAGUCGAGUUGUUUGGGAAUGCAGCUCUAAGUGGGUGGUAAAUUCCAUCUAAAGCUAAAUAUUGGCGAGAGACCGAUAGCGAACAAGUACAGUGAUGGAAAGAUGAAAAGAACUUUGAAAAGAGAGUGAAAAAGUACGUGAAAUUGUUGAAAGGGAAGGGUAUUGGAUCAGACUUGGUGUUUUGUGAUUAUCUUCCCUUCUUGGGUUGUGCACUCGCAUUUCACUGGGCCAGCAUCGGUUCGGGUGGCAAGAUAAUGGCUUGGGAACGUGGCACUCCUCGGAGUGUGUUAUAGCCCUUGUUGAUGUUGCCUACCUGGACCGAGGACUGCGGCUUCUGCCUAGGAUGCUGGCGUAAUGAUUCAAUACCGCCC